rnacentral:rRNA from 1 species
UACGUAGGGUGCGAGCGUUAAUCGGAAUUACUGGGCGUAAAGCGUGCGCAGGCGGUUUUGUAAGUCAGAUGUGAAAUCCCCGGGCUUAACCUGGGAAUGGCAUUUGGGACUGCAAGGCUGGAGUGCGGCAGAGGAGACUGGAAUUCCUGGUGUAGCAGUGAAAUGCGUAGAUAUCAGGAGGAACACCGAUGGCGAAGGCAGGUCUCUGGGCUGACACUGACGCUCACGCGCGAAAGCGUGGGGAGCAAACAGG